rnacentral:rRNA from 3 species
UACGUAGGCAGCGAGCGUUGUUCGGAGUUACUGGGCGUAAAGCGUGCGUAGGCGGUGGUCCAAGUCUGGUGUGAAAUCUCCCGGCUCAACUGGGAGGGUGCGCCGGAAACUGGGCCGCUGGAGUAUGGGAGAGGCAAGCGGAAUUCCAGGUGUAGCGGUGAAAUGCGUAGAUAUCUGGAGGAACACCCGUGGUGCAGACGGCUUGCUGGACCAUGACUGACGCUGAGGCACGAAAGCGUGGGUAGCAAACAGG